rnacentral:sRNA from 12 species
ACUGUGGAGCAUCAAAUAAACGCAAGUAGUCCAGACGAAAGCGGAUGCUAUGAAGCAGGAA